CAGAGGGUGCGAGCGUUAGUCCGGAAUCACUGGGCGUAAAGGGCGCGUAGGUGGCGGCCCAAGUCCAUGGUGAAAGCUCGAUGCUCAACAUCGAGUCGGCCACGGAUACUGGGUUGCUCGAGCACUGUAGAGGCAGAUGGAAUUCCGGGUGUAGCGGUGGAAUGCGUAGAGAUCCGGAAGAACACCGGUGGCGAAGGCGGUCUGCUGGGCAGUAGCUGACACUGAGGCGCGACAGCGUGGGGAGCAAACAGGAUUAGAUACCCUGGUAGUCCACGCCGUAAACGAUGGGCACUAGAUGCUUGGGGGAGCGACCCCCUGAGUGUCGUCGCUAACGCAGUAAGUGCCCCGCCUGGGGAGUACGGCCGCAAGGCUG
rnacentral:rRNA from 1 species